rnacentral:rRNA from 1 species
CGUGUAGCCGGGUCUUUAAGUCAGAUGUGAAAUCCACGGGCUCAACUCGUGAACUGCAUUUGAAACUGAAGAUCUUGAGUAUCGGAGAGGUAAUCGGAAUUCCUAGUGUAGCGGUGAAAUGCGUAGAUAUUAGGAAGAACACCAGUGGCGAAGGCGGAUUACUGGACGACAACUGACGGUGAGGCGCGAAAGCGUGGGGAGCAAACAGGAUUAGAUACCCCCGUA